AACAAACGCUGGCGGCGUGCCUAAUACAUGCAAGUCGAACGGGGAAAGCUUUCGGGUGAGUACUAGUGGCGCACGGGUGAGGAACGCAUGGAUAAUCUGCCUUAGUGUGGGGGAUAACUAGUCGAAAGAUUAGCUAAUACCGCAUAAGACCACAGGAGCUGCGGCUCAAGGGGUCAAAGGUUUUUCGCUCUAGAUGAGUCCGCGUAAGAUUAGCUAGUUGGUGAGGUAACGGCUCACCAAGGCGACGAUCUUUAACUGGUCUUAGAGGAUGAUCAGUCACACUGGAACUGAGACACGGUCCAGACUCCUACGGGAGGCAGCAGUAGGGAAUAUUGCACAAUGGAGGAAACUCUGAUGCAGCGACGCCGCGUGAGUGAUGAAGGCCUUCGGGUCGUAAAGCUCUGUCGCAGGGGGAUAACACAAUGAAGGUACCCUGUAAGAAAGGAUCGGCUAACUUCGUGCCAGCAGCCGCAGUAACAC
rnacentral:rRNA from 1 species